rnacentral:rRNA from 1 species
AGUGAACGCUGGCGGUAGGCCUAACACAUGCAAGUCGAACGGCAGCACAGGAGAGCUUGCUCUCUAGGUGGCGAGUGGCGGACGGGCGAGACAUACAUCGGAAUCUGCCCAGUCGUGGGGGAUAACGUAGGGAAACUUACGCUAAUACCGCAUACGUCCUUCGGGUGAAAGAGGGGGAUCGCAAGACCUCUCGCGAUGGGAUGAGCCGGUGUCGUCUUAGCUGGUUAGCGGGGUAAUGGCCCACCAAGGCGGCGAUCCGUAUCUGAUCUGAGAGGGGGAUGGCCGGCAUGGGAACUUGGACACGCUCCAGACGCCUGCGGGAGGCCGCAGUGGGGAACAUUGGACAAUGGGCGCGAGCCUUAUCCAGUCAUACCGAGUGUGUGAAGAAGGCCUUCGGGUUGUAAAGCCCGUUUGUGGGGAAAGAAACCCUUCAGGCUAAGACCCUGCGAGAAUGACGGUACCCAAAGAAUAAGCACCGGCUAACUUCGUG